ACACGGUAUCCUUCCCUGCAAUUAAACGAAGUCCUCCUCCGUGCCUCCUCCCAAUAGCCUCUCUCUCUCUUUCUGCGCAAGCUCUCUUGUUCAGAAGGGACACAUCAAGUCUGAAGCAGAGGGGAAAAGUGAAUACCUGCAGAGAAGCAGAGAGAAAUGGAGGCCAUUACUGGAGAAGUGAGAAGAAUUAAAGUCCUUUACUUCCUCGGGCAUGGCCGUGGGUCUGGGGGCGGGGUUGAGCAGCCUCACCUGUUCUGUGCCAAUCACAGCAGCAGCAAUGACCUUCUUUUAAAACAUAUUAAGAGGUGGCUUGCGGAUUUGAGAGGAAGCCACUUGACCGAGGCCUUCUCUUGGUCCUACAAAAGGAGGUACAAGACGGGAUAUAUUUGGCAAGAGGUAGUGGAUGACGAUCUUGUGAUGCCUACCUCCGUAAUGAGUAUGUCCUCCAAGGAUGUGAAAAAGUUG